GAACCUUUAUCUCAACUCGCUUUUAAAAACCUCUCGUUGACCUUUUCUCCGAAACGGAAGUGGCAACCAAUUCCCGAUAGAGAGGAGGACCGAUCGCACACUCAUUGCCCGAUUAAGCGGUAUUAAACGAGUGAGAUAACAGGUCGUGAUCGCCGAGGGUUGAGGAGCGUGUUCAUUAUGCAAUUAUCCGGACUGCGAUGCUACAGGGGGUGUUGGAGGUCGUUCAUGUUGUUCGCUUCUUCAGUGCUGUCUUGACCGUGGAAGGGAAAGUGUCGCCGCGCUCUGCUCCCGCCCUGAAAUAGUUUUAAAAAAUAACAUAUAUCUCGACAGGAGACCAAAGAUAAAUAUAAUAAAAGAGUGUGACUAAAGAAAAGAAAAGAAAAGAAAAAGAGACACGUCAUAAAACACAAGGAAGUGCGAUCUAAUGAUGAUAUAUAAAGGAUCAUAGAGGAAA